rnacentral:misc_RNA from 1 species
GAGAGAGAGAGAGAGAGAGGAGAGCAUUGGCUUUAGCCUUUUCUGUCAUAUUUAAUGAGGUGUUAUGGGGCAGUGUAUCAAUGCGUGAGAAUUAGAGAAGGAAAAAUAGCUAAUGAGAGGGCUAGUGUUAAUGCUCGUUUCUUUUGCAGUGUUUUCUUCUGCUGUACCCUUCUGCUAUAUUGUUCGAAUUUAAUAGCUGUAGUUACUCUUAUUCAUCUACUUAUAUGGCUAUCAUUCAACUUUCAAUUCCUUUUCUCUCUUGUUUCUUUUUCUUU